UACGGAGGGUGCGAGCGUUGUCCGGAAUCACUGGGCGUAAAGGGCGCGUAGGCGGCUCACGCAAGCGUGCGGUGAAAGCCCGGGGCCCAACCCCGGGUCGGCCGUGCGGACUGCGGGGCUUGAGCACUGUAGGGGCAGAUGGAAUUCCGGGUGUAGCGGUGGAAUGCGUAGAGAUCCGGAAGAACACCGGUGGCGAAGGCGGUCUGCUGGGCAGUGGCUGACGCUGAGGCGCGACAGCGUGGGGAGCAAACAGG
rnacentral:rRNA from 1 species